AGCGAACGCUGGCGGCAGGCCUAACACAUGCCAGUCGAACGAACCUUUCGGGGUUAGUGGCGGACGGGUGAGUAACACGUGGGAACGUGCCUUUAGGUUCGGAAUAACUCAGGGAAACUUGUGCUAAUACCGAAUGUGCCCUUCGGGGGAAAGAUUAAUCGCCUUUAGAGCGGCCCGCGUCUGAUUAGCUAGUUGGUUGAGGUAAUGGCUCACCAAGGCGACGAUCAGUAGCUGGUCUGAGAGGAUGAUCAGCCACAUUGGGACUGAGACACGGCCCAAACUCCUACGGGAGGCAGCAGUGGGGAAUCUUGCGCAAUGGGCGAAAGCCUGACGCAGCCAUGCCGCGUGAAUGAUGAAGGUCUUAGGGUUGUAAAAUUCUUUCACCGGGGACGAUAAUGACGGUACCCGGAGAAGAAGCCCCGGCUAACUUCGUG
rnacentral:rRNA from 1 species